rnacentral:rRNA from 1 species
UACGAAGGGUGCAAGCGUUGUUCGGAAUUACUGGGCGUAAAGGGUUCGUAGGCGGGAAUGUAAGUUGAAUGUGAAAACCCCGGGCUUAACCUGGGACGUGCAUCCAAAACUGCGUUUCUUGAGUUGUCUGAGAGGGUCGUGGAAGUUGCUGGUGUAGGAGUGACAUCCGUAGAGAUCAGCAGGAACACCGGAGGCGAAAGCGACGACCUGGCAGAACACUGACGCUGAGGAAACGAAAGCGUGGGGAGCAAACAGG